GGACAAAGAGCCCUGAUCUGUAUCAUUAACCAGUUUCUAUGGUGUAAAUAUUUCCACCAUGGCCACUUUCAAGCUGCCAACAGGAAGUGAACUGGCUGUCAAAACUCCUGCAAAUGUAACAACCCAGGACAAUCCAAUCUGUGGGUGGCAUCUCCCUGGAGCCUGGGUCCUCUCUCUGAGCUGGCUUACCUGUCCGUCUGGAACCUGGUUAGGCCAUGGAUGAAACUCAGCUUCGAUGCCCAUUGCAGAGGGAAGUAAAGGAUGCUUGCACUGAGUGACUGCUAGUGCGGGAGUUUUACAAAGCACUGCAGUGACCUCAUGUGAGACUCAAGUCUAAAGUGCAGUGGGCAAGCCCACACAGCAAGCAGCUUCUAGAGCCAGCCUCAGGCCACCCAGCCUUGAGAGCCUCUGGGAGGAGGUUUUCUAGCAGGUGAGUGGUCAGAUUCUGUCUCUGUCCUGCCGGAUGAAUGGGCGGCGCUUGGCAGCUCUCCUUCCCCCUUGCCCACUGCGGAGAAGGCUGGAAGUUGCCUGGGAAGUAGGAAGUGAUGCAGGGGCUCCUGACGUCUUCUCCGCAGGCUUGGUGGUGGACCGGUUGGGCCAUCUUCCAGGAGCGGGUCACUGGCUCUAUGGGUGUCGAGAGGAAAGGCGAGGUCUAUUUUUUGGCCAGGAUGAAUCCAGCAGGUGUGGAUAUUUGAAAAAACCAAAGCCAGUGGUACAGCGGCUCAUAUCUAUCAUGUCAGCACUUUGGGAGGAUGAGGUUGAAGGAUGACUUGAGCUUAGGAGUUUAAGACCAGCCUGGGCAACAAAGUGAGACCCCAUCUCUACAAAAAAUAAAAAAUAUUAGCUGGACGUGGUGGCA
rnacentral:lncRNA from 13 species